UUUGAACAUAUAAACAAAUUCGAUUUCUCGUCAAUGAAAAUCGACACGACGGCGAAAGAUCUCUGCAA
rnacentral:sRNA from 1 species